rnacentral:rRNA from 1 species
AGUGAACGCUGGCGGCGUGCCUAAUACAUGCAAGUCGAACGAAGUGGCGCACGGGUGAGUAAUAUAUAGUUAAUCUGCCCUACACAGAGGAACAACAGUUGGAAAAGACUGCUAAUACAUCAUAGUGUAGGAUGAGACUAUAUCGUAUCAGCUAGUUGGUAAGGUAAUGGCUUACCAAGGCUAUGACGCGUAACUGGUCUGAGAGGAUGAGCAGGCACAUUGGAACGGGGACACAGUCCAAACUCUUACGGGAGGCAGCAGUAUGUAACAUUGCGAAAUGGGGGAAACCCUGACGCAGCAACGCCGCGUGGAGGAUGACACUUUUCGGAGCGUAAACUCCUUUUAGCAGGAAAGCGGUACCUGAUGAAUAAGCACCGGCUAACUCCGUGCCAGCAGCCGCGGUAAUUC